rnacentral:misc_RNA from 1 species
AAAUGUAUUGUGCAAGCACUGAACCAUAACAGUGGGAGGCACACCGGAAAAGCCUAUCUCACAAUUGGACAAUGUUCGUUGCCCGGUCCUUGGAUGGUCCAGAAGGAAAGCUGCAACCUCCCUGAAUGCACCUUCUCCAACUCGGGUUCCCCUUUUCAACCCUUCACCGUUGGUAGAUAAAGGUAGCCCUUGAGGGUUAUUCACAGCUAGCGGUUCCUCAUCAAUAGGCUUAAAAAUGGCAACAUACUUGUUGCCAGACCCGUCCUGCAUGAAAUAAGUUCCUCCAGUCCCUUCAGAUGAUCGGAUAGGUAUAUUGCCUUUCGUCAAUCCAUCACAUGCAG